rnacentral:rRNA from 1 species
AUUGAACGCUGGCGGCGUGCCUAACACAUGCAAGUCGAGCGGUAACAGGUGUAGCAAUACAUGCUGACGAGCGGCGGACGGGUGAGUAACGCUUGGGAAUCUGCCUGUUAGUGGGGGACAACCCGGGGAAACUCGGGCUAAUACCGCAUACGCACUACGGUGGAAAGCCGGGGACCGCAAGGCCUGGCGCUAACAGAUGAGCCCAAGUCGGAUUAGCUAGUUGGUAGGGUAACGGCCACCAAGGCGACGAUCCGUAACUGGUCUGAGAGGACGACCAGUCACACCGGAACUGAGACACGGUCCGGACUCCUACGGGAGGCAGCAGUGGGGAAUAUUGGACAAUGGGCGAAAGCCUGAUCCAGCGACGCCGCGUGGUGAAGAAGGCCUGCGGGUUGUAAAGCCCUUUCGGUGGGGAAGAAAAGCCUCGAGUUAACACCUCGGGUCUUGACGUAACCCAUAGAAGAAGCACCGGCUAACUCUGUGCCAGCCGCCGCAGUAAC